CGCCGGGCGCGGGCGCGAGAGGACGGGCGGAGCAGGCCUGUGGGCGGUUGGUGGGCUCUCGGCUGCCGGGAGGGUCGUGAACUCCGUUUUCGCUGCCCAGGCGCGACAGAAGCGCUCUGUCCCUCCAGCACUCCUGAACUCGAAUGGUGUGUGGCAGAAGCAAUCAAGAUGAUUGAAAAUUGUGCUGAAAAGAAGUCUGCUGAGUCCUAGAAGACAUUUCCAUGUGAAAGUGGAAAUGAAACAUCAUGAAAAAGAUCUCAAAGAGAAGAGCUGAUAUUAAAAAAAGGAACCAAUUCUGGAUGUGGUGAAAAAGGCACACUCAUACAUUGCUGGUGGAGUUGC